rnacentral:lncRNA from 1 species
AAUUGUCCAAUUUAAAUGCAAUAUUCUGCUCAGAAUUCACUUUCAGGAUAUCUGGGUAGGCCUAAUAUACUGUCUAUGGAGAUUUGUUUUGACCAGCUCAUGAAAUCGAUGCUAGACGCUCACUCGGCCGUUCGCUCACAUUCCCGGAUCUAAACUGGGUUGUAUUCAUUAAGAACCAAACGGAAAGAAACGAUCAGGGACUAACCUGAGAAACGCUCGUUGUCGUUGCAAAACGUUGUGCUACGCUAUGCACUUAUGAAGUCAACCCUGGCAGGUACUGUUUUACUCUCUCAUCCCCUUCUCUCUUCACCUCGCUAAUCUACUCACCUCCCUCUCUCCUUUAUUCUCUGUUUGCAUUCGUUUUUAAAACCAAAGCGCCCAGUUUUAGUGAUAUGCUGCAACAACACCACGUUUAGUAGCCAAACGUCGAUGACAUGAGUAGCUUAGAGCCGACGCUAUUCGAUGGUAUCUCUAUCUGAACGUUCCAAAACGUUCCAUGUGGCUGAACUCGCCCAAAUAAUGAUUUAUACGCGGAAGUAUAAGUGAAAGUAAAACAUUUUGUUAAAGUUACACGAGCUCACUGAAAUAAGAGGCGAGAAAGAUUUUGGGGUCAAGAUAUCCUUCAUGUUGGGACAUGGCUUGUACAAGGCAAUCUGCUUUAGAGUACAUUAAAAAUGGAAGGAGAUUCCUUGUUGAAAGGCUCCAGAAUCUGUCCCUCAUUGUGGAAAACCUGUUUCAGCGCAAGGUUCUUCACAAGGAGGAAGUCAGUAAAAUUCAGGCAGAAGGUGACCGUUUUGACCAAACCAGAAAAGUACUGGACUGGGUCACGGCCAAAGGAGAAGCUGCAUGCUACGAGUUACUGACGAUUCUAGACAUCACAAGGAAGAGGACCUUAGACAACGCUGACUUACAGCAAUGGAUAAGCUGCUUCCCCUUCAAGGAAGACCCAGAGAUGACAGACUACCUUGUUGGUUCAAAACCCUGUCACAGAUAUCAGUCACAGCUGAAAUGUAAAGCUCGAAAGAUCACACAGGAUACAUGGAAACAAAGCUGUAGUCUCCUACCAGAGAGGUGUAGAAAUGAGGUGACUUUCUCUUACACUCCUCUUGUGUUAGAUACAGACGUGCCUUCAUCUCUCUCUAAAAUCAAAAUGAAGAGCAAAAGAUGCAAGAAAGCUCGCCCUAAAAAGCUAAAGAGCUUCAUCCCCAUGGCCAAACAGGAAACGUCCCCGGCUGACCUGCUUAAAACACCCAAGAGAAGGAUCCUCUUAUUUGGAAAACCUGGAAUUGGAAAGACAGCAGUCGCCCAUCAAAUGUUGAAGCUCUGGGCAGAGGAAGAUCAUAGAGAACUAGAUUACAUGUUUUAUUUUGAUGUGAGAGACAUUUCCCCCAGCACAAAUCCCAUGAGACUUGAGGACCUUCUCUUUAACAUGUACAGUGAGCCAGAAGAAAGUAGAGAAGAAGUGUUACAGGAUAUUAAGAAGAACUCUGAAAACGUUGUCAUCAUUUUUGAUGGAAUCACAGACCUCUCCUUUCAUUCAGUAAUAAAGAAACUUGUAGGCAAGGACCUCCUCCCUGAUGCAAAGAUUGUGAUCACAUGCAGACCAGAGGUUCCAUCAGGAGACUUCCUGACAGACUGGCCCUCGUUCCGAGUGGAGGUGAAAGGGUUUAGUAAUGAGUCCAUCCGGGCUUACUUAACAAAGAUGCUAAGUGCUGAGCCUAACCCUACGCCAAACCAUGACUCCUUGAGCAGUGUGUUAAGCAACCUAGAGUUGUUCAGUCUGUGCCAUGUCCCGAUGUAUGCAUUGAUGGUGGUUGCCUGCGUUUAUUAUUCUACCCCAGAGGCUUCUAAGCAGCCAUGCCCUACAACUAAGAUGUACGUCAACAUCCUCCGUUACUGCAUCCUAAAACACAGUGGCAAACAGAUGAAUGAUCUUGACAAGUGUCUCAUAGAAAACAGAGAAAAAAUCUUGUCUUUAGCAAAAAUUGCAAUGAAACAAUGAACUUGACAGAACUGAGCUGCGAAGUAAGCAGUGUCCAGUUUUCUUUCUUGGGGGCGCUUAUGAUUAUGGUCGAGCCCACAGUAUCGGACACUUACUCUGCAUUUCUCCAUUACACAAUGCAGGAGUUCGUUGGUGCCCUUUGGCUCUUACAGAAUCCAGACAAAAUCAGAGAGUUUCUACAGAAGUGCCAGACUGAAGAAUGGAAACACACAAAACACAUGGUUCCUUUCAUGUGUGGGCUUCUGAAUGAGAGGAAUAUUCGAUUGGUAAAUGGUCUUGUUCCAGCUCAACAGAUCAAGGAGACGUCAGAUUGGUUCUUCAAGGAAGUGGUGAACACAUUUCUUCCACUUCAAACAAACCAAGAUCAUGCAGAAGGUGGUGCUCCUGAGUUUGAGGUAGAUCUUCUGUUUUUAUGUCAGUGCUUGUAUGAAUCUCAGUCUACUGAGGCCUGUUUGCUUCUUCUGGACAAACUGGACUACAAUCUACACCUGGAUGAAGAACAUCUUGAUCCUCACCAGUGCUGUGCAGUCUCCUAUAUGAUCAGUCAGUCUGCAGAGAGAAAGGUUGACUUGGACCUGAACAGCUGCACUGUGUCAGACCAAGGACUAAGGCUGAUACUGGGCUCUCUGAAGAAUGUCCGAUAUCUCAGAUCUGACCCCUCAAUGCUGUGUCAACUCUGGACAACUUUGCUGAGCGGUGAGGCAGACAUUGACUUCACCAGCUUGCUUGGUCUCUGUGGAAAUGAGUUGCGCCUUCCAUUCCUGGGUGAAAGACGAGUGUUUGAGAGAGCAGAAGAAGUGAUGAAGCAGAGCCUGGAGAGGGUUAACCUCUGUCUACACUGGGAUCGGACAACUCUUCUCAGUGAAGCUCUCAGCAAGACCAUUUUAAAGUGUUUAACACAUAUCAACAAACUCAGUUUUAACCCACUACAUAAUCAGAGAGGAUCCCCUGAAAAACUAGAGAAAGAACAGAAAGCAGUCCUACUAAAUUUGUGUCUACAAGCCGCACUUUAUCACAGAGAAACGUUCCAGGGAGCUGUGAACACACUGCUGUCACUCUUCUCUGUGUAUCAAACUGAGAGAUAUGACAUCCUGCUGGAUCUGUACUCACAUGUGAAGGACUAUGAGACUCAAACAGGCAGGAGUGUCCUUCCAUCAUUGAGGCCACUUUAUCAGUCAGCUCCUGCAGUCUGGUCCAUAGACCUCUCAGAGAGAAAAGCCUCCCUCCUCCUAGAAGUGCUGAAACUCGAACCAGAUAAAAAAUCUGUCGAGCUGAAAGGCUGGUCAGACAAAGAGAGUGAAGUGAGGAGUUUCCUUCAGUGUCUGCCCUACAUCUCACAGCUGAGUUUUACUUCACCACAGGAUCAGAGAAGAUCCCCUGAAGAGUGGAGAAAGAGAGAGAAGACAUUCCUACUGAAUCUGUGUCUUCAAGCAGCCCUCCAUGCGAGAGAACACAUACAAACAACUGUAGAGAAAGUGUUUUCAUUGUCUGAAGUUUAUCAUGAUCGGAAAUGGGAUUUCCUGCUGGAUCUGUACUCACAUGUGAAGGACUAUGAGACUGAAACAGGCAGGAGUGUCCUUCCAGCAUUACAGCCAGUUUACCAGUCAGCUCCUGCAGUCUGGUCCAUAGACCUCUCAGAGAGAAAGGCCUCCCUCCUCCUAGAAGUGCUGAAACUCCAACCAGAGAAGAAACCAGUAGAGCUGGAAGGCUUGUCAGAUGAAGAGAGUGAAGUGAGGAGUUUCCUUCAGUGUCUGCCCUACAUCUCACAGCUGAGUUUCUAUCCAUGGUGGUCUGACAACUCAAAGCUGAUCAAGUUCCUGGUGGGUCUCCUGUCUCAAGCAGCAGAGUGGGAGGAGCAGUCAGGAGAGAAGACACUGAAGCUGCUAUCAUCAGUGUUUACUUACAGCACUUUCCCUCUCUAUGACUGGGAUGAUUAUCAUAAGUGGUUUCAAUGUGAUUUCCUGCUGGAUCUGUGCUCACAUGUGAAGGACUAUGAGACUCAAACAGGCAGAAGUGUCCUUCCAGUAUUACAGCCAGUUUACCAGUCAGCUCCUGCGGUCUGGUACAUAGACCUCUCAGAGAGAAAGGCCUCCCUCCUCCUAGACGUGCUGAAACUCCAACCAGAGAAGAAACCAGUAGAGCUGAUGAAGUGGUCAGAUGAAGAGAGUGAAGUGAGGAGUUUCCUUCAGUGUCUGCCCUACAUCUCACAGCUGAGUUUUACUUCACCACAGGAUCAGAGUAGAUCCCAUGAAGAGUGGAGAAAGAGAGAGAAGACAUUCCUACUGAAUCUGUGUCUUCAAGCAGCCCUCCAUGCGAGAGAACACAUACAAACAACUGUAGAGAAAGUGUUUUCAUUGUCUGAAGUUUAUCAUGAUCGGAAAUGGGAUCUCCUGCUGGAUCUGUACUCACAUGUGAAGGACUAUGAGACUCAAACAGGCAGGAAUGUCCUUCCAGCAUUACAGCCAGUUUACCAGUCAGCUCCUGCAGUCUGGUCCAUAGACCUCUCAGAGAGAAAGGCCUCCCUCCUCCUAGAAGUGCUGAAACUCCAACCAGAGAAGAAACCAGUAGAGCUGGAAGGCUUGUCAGAUGAAGAGAGUGAAGUGAGGAGUUUCCUUCAGUGUCUGCCCUACAUCUCACAGCUGAGUUUCUAUCCAUGGUGGUCUGACAACUCAAAGCUGAUCAAGUUCCUGGUGGGUCUCCUGUCUCAAGCAGCAGAGUGGGAGGAGCAGUCAGGAGAGAAGACACUGAAGCUGCUAUCAUCAGUGUUUACUUACAGCACUUUCCCUCUCUAUGACUGGGAUGAUUAUCAUAAGUGGUUUCAAUGUGAUUUCCUGCUGGAUCUGUGCUCACAUGUGAAGGACUAUGAGACUCAAACAGGCAGAAGUGUCCUUCCAGUAUUACAGCCAGUUUACCAGUCAGCUCCUGCGGUCUGGUACAUAGACCUCUCAGAGAGAAAGGCCUCCCUCCUCCUAGACGUGCUGAAACUCCAACCAGAGAAGAAACCAGUAGAGCUGAUGAAGUGGUCAGAUGAAGAGAGUGAAGUGAGGAGUUUCCUUCAGUGUCUGCCUUACAUCUCACAGCUGAGUUUUACUUCACCACAGGAUCAGAGUAGAUCCCAUGAAGAGUGGAGAAAGAGAGAGAAGACAUUCCUACUGAAUCUGUGUCUUCAAGCAGCCCUCCAUGAGAGAGGAACCAUACAAACAACUGUAGAGAAAGUGUUGUCACUGUCUGAAGUUUAUCACGAUCGGAAAUGGGAUCUCCUGCUGGAUCUGUACUCACAUGUGAAGGACUAUGAGACUGAAACAGGCAGGAGUGUCCUUCCAGCAUUACAGCCAGUUUACCAGUCAGCUCCUGCAGUCUGGUCCAUAGACCUCUCAGAGAGAAAGGCCUCCCUCCUCCUGGAAGUGCUGAAACUCCAACCAGAGAAGAAACCAGUAGAGCUGGAAGGCUUGUCAGAUGAAGAGAGUGAAGUGAGGAGUUUCCUUCAGUGUCUGCCUUACAUCUCACAGCUGAGGCUGAAUGUGGGCAUGGCAGUGAGACUGGCCAGACUGGCUAGGAGGACAGGGAGAGGGGGUACUCCACUGACUGUCCCAGAACUCUCCCUGGUCCUAAAGAGCAGCCAGCCACCAGAGAGAGUGUUAUCCAGAGCUCUGAGUAGUGUGGCGUCCCUGCUGAGAUUCUGGAGGGUUCAGUGUCUGGACCUGACUGACUUCUGCAUCCAGGGUCACUCUCUCAUCACACUGCUGUGUCACCAGGACCCUCACACUCUCAGACUGAACUCAGACACUCUGCAGCAGCUGGCUGUGGCUGUGUAUGAAGCUCAGGACAAGGACUUGACUCAGUGGUUCCUGGAGAAGGUUGGUGGAGACCUGACCUCCUGCAGGCUGGACUGGGACGUGCUUCUCUCUCUGCUGCAGCAUUCAACCCACAACAUCACAGUGGACCUCAGGAAGAACAGGCUUCUAGAGAAGAACAUCUCAGAUCUUCUCCCCUUUCUGGGAAGGGUUAUAUUCAAGAGGCUCAGUUCCAGCUUUGUGAAGUCCACCAUCAGACAGAUCUAUGACAGUAGAGACAGUGACUGUGUGUCCAGUUUGUUGAGGUCUUCAGACCAUUGGAUCAACCUGAACAGCAGAGAGCUGGACAGAGUGGACUGUACUGCUCUGUGUUUCACCCUGCAGCACAGCCACCAAGUCAAAGUCAACCUGCUGUGGACCUCCAUACCACCGGGGGAGAUAGAGAGCAUCCUGCCUCUUCUGGACAGAGUCUCCCAACUCAGUGUUGACAGGAAGCUGUUGCUGAGUUUCCUCCACUCCUGCGCUGCCUCUCAGAUCCUACAGGGGGCACUAUCACCACCACCAACAAUAACAACAACAGCAGCAGAGCUGCUCAGGGCUCUGCAGCACAGGUUGGACUUCUCCUGCUCCUCCUCUGUGGACCUGUCAGCUCACGACCAGGGGGAGGCGCUGUGUCUGACCACUGACCACUGUAGGGCCAUAAACUCUGUUCUGAAGCAGAGCCAACACAGCACACGGCUGGUUCAGAACCCGACCCGGAACCAGUCCCGAAACCAGCCCCAGGUGCAACUCAUCCUUAAAGACUGUGAGGUGGAGCAUGGAGCACUGAGAGAGCUGCUUCCCAUCUUGCAUAUUGUCAAGCUGAGGUUAGACACACAAGGACAAACUAGUUUAUAAAAGUAGGAGUUAGAGCUGUCUCAUAAUGUUAUCUCUGGUUAUUGUCCCCUCAGCCCCAGCAAAGCUCUGCUACUUCAGCUGCUGGACCAUGUGUGUGAGGGGAUUGAAGAGGGGGUUCUGAAGCACGCAGAGUCCCUGUGCAGAGCCCUGGAUGGGGAGCUGGACCUCAGUAAGACCAGGCUGAACCAGAAGGCCUGUGGAUCUCUGGCCCUGGUUCUGGAACACUCAGAGGGGCUGUCAGAACUGUACCUCAACCACUGCCAACUCACAGACCACCACCUACAGCCCCUGCUCACACACCUGCACAAAGUUGAAGUCCUGGACCUGAGUCACAAUGACAUCACUGAUGCUCUGACCGACAGAAUACUCCAAUUGGUCUCUACCAACACUUCAAUACGCACCGUACGGCUCUUCAACAACAGAAUCAACGACAGAAGUCCGUUCCUGACAGACAAGAGGUUUGAGAUCUGGUGAAGCAGCAUCAGGUCCAAGUCCAGACAGAGGAAGAGAAGAUGGAUGUUGAAGAAGAGAAGAUGGAUGUUGAAGAAGAGAAGAUGGAUGUUGAAGAUGGGUGUAGUAGCUACGAAGCCUCGGCAGGGGGGGAAUCCCAGGAGGAACCACUCAUCGCUUCCUUCCGGCCAAGAAGGCACAACCCUCCAGCCAUCUUAUGUGUCACAGCUACCUCCAGCAGCCUUUACCUCCAGCAGCCUUUACCUCCAGCAGCC